UUUUUUUUUUUUUGUCAUUUUUAUGCACAUUACUACUACUGCCUCUAGCCAGGUCUUCUCUGCCAAGAGAAGGAAAAGAACAAGAAAAUGUAUUGGUUUUGUGUUUUGCUUUUAACAAUUCUAAACUGACUAGAACUAUAAACUGUAAAGAAUACAGACAAUGUCGGAGGGAAGAGGAGACCUGGCUUCCAUAGUAGAGAGACCUCACGAAGGAGAGCUUCUGACACUCUGAGUCAACCUACCCCUCAGAUGCGUCACCAGCCUACCCGACAUUCUGCAGCUGCCCACAGUGAAAGCUGCCUCUCCACUGUGCCAAGGCUAGACCACACCCAUUAUCAGGAUCCUUGAAGGUGCCAUUGCCUGGGCCAGGAAAGAAUGAACAGAAGAGAACCUGGAAUAAGGCUUUGGGGGAGAACUGCUUUGCUUUCAUGAAUGGUUAGCCAAGGCUGGGUUCUGUAACAUCAUCUCUCGGACUUUGCUGACACUUUUGAAGAAUUCAUAGGAUUUUAUUCCAGCCCCUUGACAUCUCUGAAAGGUCUUCAAGGAGCAGAUUAACACACAGGGAGAAGUUGAGUAUCUGUCUGGCACAGUACAGAGAGAAGUUUGAAGACAGUGUACUUCUGGGUAAAAACUUGUGUGAUCCUGAAGAGCCAUAUUCCUAUCUGACAGACAGCUUCUUCGCGGUCUUGGACUGGCAUCUGCACAUGGAACUUCCUCUAAUCAUGGGAUGGUGGAAAGAAAAUUCCAGCAACCCAACGGCAUCUUGAGCACAAAACUGGACAGUCGGUGUAAUCUCUCGUGAUCAAAGGGUCUGGUGAUUGGAGACAUGAGGACUAGCUACUUCACCUGUGAGACUCUUCCUGACACUAACUUGUCUUGUCUUUGUAUGUGUGAUGUUCAUGUGUCGUGUGUGGUAUCUGGUGUGUGUCUGGUAUGCGUAUGUGAUGUGUAUGGUAUGUGGCGGUGUGUGAUGUGUAUGUGAUGUGUGUGAGGUGUGUAUGUGUGUGUGAUGUGUACGUGCACUCAUGCAUCGAGUGUUCAAUUAUGUACAGGUGCAUCUGUGUGUGCACAGGUGUGCACUGACAUUGCACAUGCAAGUAGAGACCAAAGGACAGGCAUGGUCUCACUCCUUGGGUAGCAUCCAUAUUUUUAAGGAUGUCGAAAACAUUUAUUAAAAUUAUACAAAUAAUCCUUCUCAAAGCAAAAUCUAAUGUAUCUGGCAUUCCUUGAAAACAGCAUCUAUAACUUCUACACAUUUGUCCUAAAUAUUAAACAGUUAUGAGGACAGCAUGUAUAGAAGAGACCCACCAGAGGAAGGCCCAGGGCAGUGGUCUCAACAAGCUGCUUAUUAAUGGCAAUAUUGAUAUGACAAUAGUGAUAUGUAUAUACAAACAUUGAAUAUCAUUUUCAUAACUAUCAUUUCAUUGAGUUGUGACGGUUCAUGGAGAUUUAUAACAUCUACUAAUAAUUCCAAUUU
rnacentral:lncRNA from 1 species